rnacentral:rRNA from 1 species
GAUGAACGCUGGCGGCGUGCCUAAUACAUGCAAGUCGAGCGAACAGACGAGGAGCUUGCUCCUCUGACGUUAGCGGCGGACGGGUGAGUAACACGUGGAUAACCUACCUAUAAGACUGGGAUAACUUCGGGAAACCGGAGCUAAUACCGGAUAAUAUGUUGAACCGCAUGGUUCAACAGUGAAAGACGGUUUUGCUGUCACUUAUAGAUGGAUCCGCGCCGCAUUAGCUAGUUGGUAAGGUAACGGCUUACCAAGGCAACGAUGCGUAGCCGACCUGAGAGGGUGAUCGGCCACACUGGAACUGAGACACGGUCCAGACUCCUACGGGAGGCAGCAGUAGGGAAUCUUCCGCAAAGGGCGAAAGCCUGACGGAGCAACGCCGCGUGAGUGAAGAAGGUCUUCGGAUCGUAAAACUCUGUUAUUAGGGAAGAACAAAUGUGUAAGUAACUAUGCACGUCUUGACGGUACCUAAUCAGAAAGCCACGGCUAACUACGUG